CCUACGGGAGGCAGCAGUAGGGGAAUCUUGCGCAAUGGGCGAAAGCCUGACGCAGCCAUGCCGCGUGAAUGAUGAAGGUCUUAGGAUUGUAAAAUUCUUUUCACCGGGGAAGAUAAUGACGGUACCCGGAGAAGAAGCCCCGGCUAACUUCGUGCCAGCAGCCGCGGUAAUACGAAGGGGGGCUAGCGUUGCUCGGAAUUACUGGGCGUAAAGGGCGCGUAGGCGGAUAGUUUAGUCAGAGGUGAAAGCCCAGGGCUCAACCUUGGAACUGCCUUUGAUACUGGCUAUCUUGAGUUCGGGAGAGGUGAGUGGAAUGCCGAGUGUAGAGGUGAAAUUCGUAGAUAUUCGGCGGAACACCAGUGGCGAAGGCGACUCACUGGCCCGAUACUGACGCUGAGGCGCGAAAGCGUGGGGAGCAAACAGGAUUAGAUACCCUGGUAGUCCACGCUGUAAACGAUGAGUGCUAGUUGUCGGCAUGCAUGCAUGUCGGUGACGCGAGCUACGACAUAAGACGACGUCCGCCGUCGGGGUAGGUACGGUCGGCGAAGUAAGUUAAACGUUAAAGGUUAAAGUUAGUUACGGUUCGUGAGACGNGCCGACGGACGACGACGAGGGAGGAGG
rnacentral:rRNA from 1 species